CAGCCGCCGCGGGAAUACGGAGGGUGCAAGCGUUAAUCGGAAUUACUGGGCGUAAAGCGCACGCAGGCGGUCUGACAAGUCAGAUGUGAAAUCCCCGGGCUUAACCUGGGAACUGCAUUUGAAACUGUCAGGCUGGAGUCUUGUAGAGGGGGGUGGAAUUCCAGGUGUAGCGGUGAAAUGCGUAGAGAUCUGGAGGAAUACCGGUGGCGAAGGCGGCCCCCUGGACAAAGACUGACGCUCAGGUGCGAAAGCGUGGGGAGCAAACAGGAUUAGAUACCCGGGUAGUCCCUGUCUCUUAUAA
rnacentral:rRNA from 1 species